GCCUGUUCUUCUGCAUGUGCAUACCCUUCAUCUAUGCCUUCGAGAUUACCAACUUUUUCAUCUUCAAUAAUUUCAAUGACUGGCUCCUUGGUUACUUGGCACUGCGAUGACUCAUGGUCAGCCAAUGCAUUUUCUCUAGCAUCUCGAUCUGCUCCAUCAUCUACAUGUGCUGUAGGAAAAAUCGUAUUUGAAAAUAUCAAAACUUGGAGCUGGGCAGUAUUCACUAACAAAGACAUUUGAGCUUUCACUUCUGCUAUGCUGAAACUGUUGUCCAUCCAUCUCUGCUGGAAUAUGAAUUGCUGACUUGCUUAGCAGAUCGUUGGUAGAUGGGGGAACGCACCUUGCCAAGAGCUCACUGACAUCUAGCACAUUUAUUUCCAGUGGACUGACCGCCUUGUUAGCAUAACUAAAAUUGAUAUCCUUCAGCUGCGGAUGGGGAGGUGAUUGGGCAACUGUAGGAAUAAAAGCAGGCAACUUGCCCUGAACUUUUAGCAACUUUGCUUCCGAACUUGGUUUAAUGUUGCCGCCGAUGACAUCUUCCAUCCCUCCAACCCCUGUGAUUGACACUGGAGGUAUGUUCUCCUGACCUGCAUAUAAUGGUACAGCCUGUUGUGAUGCUUUGUAAUGAAACAAUUUGCCCCUCUGGAUGUCAGUGGCUGAUUGCAUCCCAUUCCCUAGAACAAGAUUUUGUGCUUGACCAUUUAGACUGCUUAGUGGUUGCCUCCCACUACGGUUUGUACUAGGGACUGCUCUGCUUACUUGCAAUGAUGCAUCCUGUUUCAUUUGAGUUGCUCCUCCUGCUGUGGGUUGAAUUGAUGCAUGUGCAAUACUUGCCUGAAAAUCAGAUGAACUUGCUUCCUCCCUAGGAUGACUUGCUAGAAUUUGUGAGGCACUUGGUUCUUGUUUUGAAACAGUCCCUGGUGAAACUGCAACAUUU
rnacentral:rRNA from 1 species